rnacentral:rRNA from 1 species
CUGCGGAAGGAUCAUUAUAGAAUCUAGAUCGUCAAGNUUAGAGAGAUUGUGCUGGCAAAGUCCUUGCAUGUGCACGUCCCCUCGCCUUGGAUCACCACACCCACACCUGUGCACCUUUUGUAGACGACUCCCUCGAAAGAGGGAAGAGUCUAUGUAUUUACAUCAUCACGCUAUGUAUGGCCAGAAUGUUUAUAAACUUUACAACUUUCAGCAAUGGAUCUCUUGGCUCUCGCAUCGAUGAAGAACGCAGCGAAUUGCGAUAAGUAAUGUGAAUUGCAGAUUUCUCGUGAAUCAUCGAAUCUUUGAACGCACCUUGCGCUCCUCGGUAUUCCGAAGAGCAUGCCUGUUUGAGUGUCAUUAAAUAAUCAACCAUGUCUCUUCGUCAGUGGAGAUCAUGGCUUGGACUUGGGGGUUGCCGGAGACCUUUAGGGACUUGGGCUCCCCUUUAAAGCAUUAGUGAUCGAGGACUCGGACUAGUCUUUGACACGCACGGCCUUUGACGUGAUAACGAUCGUCAUGGCCAGAGUGUCUGUUCUAUGAAGGUCAUCAUCGCUUCUAAACCGAAGUGUAGGAACAGGAGGGGGUCUACUAGGACUGGCGAACACGAGGCGAACGCUUUGCUCUCUUUAGAGAGUGAGAUUACUAGCUUAGCUACUAGUCCGUCCUUUGAAAU